rfam:Triticum aestivum genome assembly, contig: Triticum_aestivum_CS42_TGACv1_scaffold_404702_5BL
UGGACACUCCCUCCGUCUGAAAAUACUUGUCAUCAAAAUGAAUAAAAAAUGAUGUAUUUAAAAUUAAAAUACAUCUAGAUACAUCUUAUUUUAUUCAUUUUGAUGACAAGUAUUUCCGGACAGAGGGAGUACAAA